rnacentral:lncRNA from 1 species
AUGAUGGAUCCUGAUGAGGAGAUUGUUAGUGGUGCUCGUCCUAAACGUCAUACUCGUCCACCAGCUCACCUUCAGCAGUAUGAAGUACAGUAUACCCGAGUCAGACCUGUCGCUGAGUAUGAUGUUCCGCAUCCUUUGGAGGCACCUGUCCGCCGGACUACCCCCCUAUCCUUCCAGCCUUACGCCACUCCCCCUGGUGGUGACCUGGUCUGUUCUGAUGGCUCACAGAUCAUAGCCUCAAAUUAUCAGCCUCCACAGCAUGCUGAAUUCCAUCAGUCAUCCUUCUCCUCGCCUCAAGCAGCUGGUUUGAUUUCCUCUGCACACGGCAGUGAAUUAGAGCACCUGCGUCAUGAGCAUGCACAACUUAUUCAGACUCAUCAGGCUUUCCAAGCAGACCUGAGGGAGCUGAGAGAAGUCCGUGCGGAAGUCAGAGAAUUAGUUCAAGUUGCUCAGUCACUUCGAGCUGACCUUAGUCUAACCAGAGGCCAGAAUCUCUCAUCAGCACAGCCACCAGCAUUGCAGCUAUCCAGUCCUCCUGUGAGGCGGUAUGAAUCCACACCUUUCGCGGAUGAGGGAAAUUUUGCGGAUCUUCCCCCACCACCCUGGCCUGAGCCUGACGUUGACUGGAUGAACCAGACUAUCUACGCCUUUGAUUGUACAUCUGUGGGCCUUCCUUUUCUCUACUAAUACAACAUUGAAAGCUAAUCACCUGCCUCCUCAUUAUUGGUGCUCUGACCGGCACCCAGGGGGGUUUACUCAUCCAUUACCUGAUCAGAACCUAACAGUCCUAAAGUCUCUCCAACAAAUUUGGUCCUUCGAGCCGGAUGAGUAUUCCCUUUUGACAUGAUGGAUCCUGAUGAGGAGAUUGUUAGUGGUGCUCGUCCUAAACGUCAUACUCGUCCACCAGCUCACCUUCAGCAGUAUGAAGUACAGUAUACCCGAGUCAGACCUGUCGCUGAGUAUGAUGUUCCGCAUCCUUUGGAGGCACCUGUCCGCCGGACUACCCCCCUAUCCUUCCAGCCUUACGCCACUCCCCCUGGUGGUGACCUGGUCUGUUCUGAU